rnacentral:rRNA from 1 species
GCGUAUCACCAUUCCAGAUUGAAUAUACCCGAUCUCGUCUGAUCUCGGAACUCAAGCAAUCUCGGGCUUGGUUAGUUCCACCACAGUGGCGAG